GCUGGCCCAAUGGCAAGGCGCUUGACUACGAAUCAAGAGAUUGCAGGUUGUGAGUUCAAUCCGCAUCAACU